rnacentral:rRNA from 1 species
ACUCCACGAAGCUGGAUUCGCUAGUAAUCGCGCAUCAGCCACGGCGCGGUGAAUACGUUCCCGGGCCUUGUACACACCGCCCGUCAAGCCAUGGGAGCCGGGGGCGCCUGAAGUCCGGGACCGCGAGGACCGGCCUAAGGCGAAACUGGUGACUGGGGCUAAGUCGUAACAAGGUAGC